GUCGCCACCAACACUCCAACAGUCGCUUCACCGUCGGCGCCGUCGGAGGGACGCUCCAGUUGGCUGCCCCCGGCAGCGGAAAGUUUCCUGCGGCCCCUGCUCUCUUUCACCACCGCGAUUCAUAAAAAAUGUGCAGAUCUACUCUUAGGCGGACUCCAGCGGCUGCCGUAUGCGGAUCCGCAUACUUCGUGCCGUGAUGCGGAGCGUCUCCCGCAGAGAAGAGAAGCCGCGGAAAUGCGCGACCGCACAUUUUGUGACGCAUCCACAACCUGUUGGAAGCGUGAAUAGUGCGCUGCGGUCACGCAAGGCCUGUUUGGUUUCCUGCCUAAGACACCACAACGUGCCUAAGCUCAGUCGCUCGAAUUGAAGAACUAACUUUAGACAGAAAAGUUAAGCAAGUUGUGGUGCUUUAGGUAGGAAACCAAACAGGUCCAAAAUGCACAUCGGCAGGUGUUUGUGUGCGCUGUUGGACACAGCCUUACUGUAUGGCCAUUACCUCCACUUGUGAUGUAGGUAUGUACUCUGGGGAUGUACAGAUAGGCCACAUAAAUGGCACAUACGCUUUAAGUGUCUUAUCAUGUGUCCAUGUUCAAGCUAUGACUUGUGACUUCCGUUUUAGACUGAAAGGUGAAUUUGGGCUUGUUUAGCACUUCAUUUUUCGUAUAAACACUGUAGUUCAUUUUUUUUCCUUCUGAUACCUUUCGUCUUUCCUCAAAAAGAUUCUGUAAGUUACUUUUAUG
rnacentral:lncRNA from 7 species